rnacentral:tRNA from 1 species
GGUGCUGUGGCUUAGUGGGUAAAGCCGCCGCUUGCAGUGCCGGCAUCCCAUAUGGGUGCUGGUUCAAGUCCGGGCUGCCCCA